UCCUCCCUCUGGCGGCGUGCUUAACACAUGCAAGUCGAGCGGAAAGGCCCUUCGGGGUACUCGAGCGGCGAACGGGUGAGUAACACGUGAGUAACCUGCCCUAGGCUUUGGGAUAACCCCGGGAAACCGGGGCUAAUACCGGAUAUGACCUGGUGCCGCAUGGUGUUGGGUGGAAAGUUUUUUCGGCCUGGGAUGGGCUCGCGGCCUAUCAGCUUGUUGGUGGGGUGAUGGCCUACCAAGGCGAUGACGGGUAGCCGGCCUGAGAGGGCGACCGGCCACACUGGGACUGAGACACGGCCCAGACUCCUACGGGAGGCAGCAGUGGGGAAUAUUGCACAAUGGGCGGAAGCCUGAUGCAGCGACGCCGUGUGAGGGAUGAAGGCCUUCGGGUUGUAAACCUCUUUCAGCAGGGACGAAGCGUGAGUGACGGUACCUGCAGAAGAAGCGCCGGCCAACUACGUG
rnacentral:rRNA from 1 species